rnacentral:tRNA from 1 species
GCCUCGGUAGUGUAAUGGAUCAGCACGGUAGAUUGGAUAUCUGUAAGUGCGGGUUCGAGUCUCGCCUAAGGUU